rnacentral:rRNA from 1 species
UGAAUACAAGGCACUAAGGUGCUGAAGUAGUGUAUGUCAUACUUCCAAGAAAAGCUUGCACUAUCGUAAGAUAAAAAUGCCUGUACCAUAACCGACACAGGUGGGUAGGUAGAGUAUACUAAGGGGCGCGAGAUAACUCUCUCUAAGGAACUCGGCAAAAUAACUCCGUAACUUCGGGAGAAGGAGUGCCUUAUUCUAUAAGGUUGCAAUAACAAGAUCCAAGCAACUGUUUAUCAAAAACACAGGUCUCCGCUAAGACGUAAGACGAUGUAUGGGGGCUGACGCCUGCCCAGUGCCAGAAGGCUAAAGAAGUCGGUUAGCAAUUGCGAAGCUGGUAACUGAAGCCCUGGUGAACGGCGGCCGUAACUAUAACGGUCCUAAGGUAGCGAAAUUCCUUGUCGGGUAAGUUCCGACCCGCACGAAAGGCGUAAUGAUUUGGAUACUGUCUCGGAGAGGGACUCGGUGAAAUAGACUUGUCUGUGAAGAUGCGGACUACCUGCACCAGGACAGAUAGACCCUAUGAAGCUUUACUGUAACUUGAAAUUGAAAUUGGACUUUAUUCGCGCAGUAUAGGUGGGAGGCGUUGAUUAUAAUCUUGUGGGAUUAUUGGAGCCAUUAGUGAGAUACCACUCUUGUAAUGUUAGAUUUCUAACUUUGAAUCAUGAUCUGGUCAAAGAACAGUUUCAGGCGGGCAGUUUGACUGGGGCGGUCGCCUCCUAAAUGGUAACGGAGGCGUACAAAGGUUUCCUCUGAACGGGUAGAAAUCGUAUCUAGAGUGUAAAGGCAUAAGGAAGCUUGACUGUGAGACCUACAAGUCGAGCAGGGACGAAAGUCGGUCUUAGUGAUCUGACGGUACUGAGUGGAAAGGCCGUCACUCAGCGGAUAAAAGUUACUCUAAGGAUAACAGGCUGAUCUCCCCCAAGAGUUCACAUCGACGGGGAGGUUUGGCGCCUCGAUGUCGGCUCAUCGCAUCCUGGGGCGGUAGUACGUCCCAAGGGUUGGGCUGUUCGCCCAUGAAAGCGGUACGCGAGCUGGGUUCAGAACGUCGUGAGACAGUUCGGUCCAUAUCCGGUGUAGGCGUUAGAAUAUUGAGAGGAGCCUUCUUUAGUACGAGAGGACCGAGAAGGACAUACCUCUGGUGUACCAGUUAUCGUGCCAACGGUAAACGCUGGGUAGCUAUGUAUGGAGUGGAUAACCGCUGAAAGCAUCUAAGUGGGAAGCCCACCUCAAGAUAAGUAUUCU